AAUGAACGCUGGCGGCAUGCCUUACACAUGCAAGUCGAACGGCAGCAUGACCUAGCUUGCUAGGUUGAUGGCGAGUGGCGAAUGGGUGAGUAAUGCAUCGGAACGUGCCUUUUAGUGGGGGAUAACGUAGCGAAAGUUACGCUAAUACCGCAUAUUCUCUGAGGAGGAAAGCAGGGGACCUUCGGGCCUUGCGCUAGAAGAGCGGCCGAUGUCGGAUUAGCUAGUUGGUGAGGUAAAGGCUCACCAAGGCAACGAUCCGUAGCGGGUCUGAGAGGAUGAUCCGCCACACUGGGACUGAGACAAGGCCCAGACUCCUACGGGAGGCAGCAGUGGGGAAUUUUGGACAAUGGGCGCAAGCCUGAUCCAGCCAUGCCGCGUGAGUGAAGAAGGCCUUCGGGUUGUAAAGCUCUUUCGGCUGGGAAGAAAUCGCACCCUCUAAUACAGGGUGUGGAUGACGGUACCAGCAUAAGAAGCACCGGCUAACUACGUG
rnacentral:rRNA from 1 species